GCCGGGCAUGGUGGUGCAUGCCUGUAGUCUUAGCUACUUGGGAGGCUGAGGCAGAAGAAUUGCUUGAACCCGGGAGGUGGAGGUUUCAGUGAGCAGAGAUUGUGCCACUGCACUCCAGCCUGGGUGAUAGAGUGAGACUCCGUCUCCA
rnacentral:SRP_RNA from 1 species